rnacentral:rRNA from 1 species
AGAGUUUGAUCCUGGCUCAGAACGAACGCUGGCGGCAGGCUUAACACAUGCAAGUCGAGCGCCCCGCAAGGGGAGCGGCAGACGGGUGAGUAACGCGUGGGAAUCUACCCAUCUCUACGGAAUAACGCAUGGAAACGUGUGCUAAUACCGUAUACGUCCUUCGGGAGAAAGAUUUAUCGGAGAUGGAUGAGCCCGCGUUGGAUUAGCUAGUUGGUGGGGUAAAGGCCUACCAAGGCGACGAUCCAUAGCUGGUCUGAGAGGAUGAUCAGCCACACUGGGACUGAGACACGGCCCAGACUCCUACGGGAGGCAGCAGUGGGGAAUAUUGGACAAUGGGCGCAAGCCUGAUCCAGCCAUGCCUCAUGAGUGAUGAAGGCCCUAGGGUUGUAAAGCUCUUUCACCGG